rnacentral:pre_miRNA from 1 species
AUUCUACUCCCUCCGUUGCACAAUACAUGCCUUCUAUUUGUAAAAAUAUAUAUGUAUCUAGACAUGUUUUAGUAUAUAGGUACAUCCAUUUUUGGACAAAUGGAAGUGAAGUAUUUUGGAAUGGAGGGAGUACACA